CGCAUCUGUGCAUGCAGCAUAUCAAUAAGCGGAGGAAAAGAAACUAACAAGGAUUCCCCUAGUAACGGCGAGUGAAGCGGGAAGAGCUCAAAUUUGAAAUCUUAAAGGGUUUCCCUUUACGAAUUGUAGUUUAAAGAAGUGUUUUUCUGUUGAGGUUUUGGUAAAAGUUCUUUGGAAUAGGACAUCAUAGAGGGUGAGAAUCCCGUAUUUGACCUUUACUUUCAACUUUGUGAUACACUUUCAAAGGAGUCGGAUUGUUUGGGAAUGCAGUCCAAAAUGGGUGGUAAAUUUCAUCUAAAGCUAAAUAUUGGCGAGAGACCGAUAGCGAACAAGUACCGUGAGGGAAAGAUGAAAAGAACUUUGAAAAGAGAGUUAAAACAGUACGUGAAAUUGUCAAAAGGGAAGCGUUUGACACCAGUGUUGUUUUUUCUGAAAAUCAAUUAAAGAACUGUUUAUGCUAAGCUUGUUUAGACUUUAUCAGCUAAUCUGUUUAGUUUUGAGCUUUUCUUUAAUGCACCUUUUCAGUUAACAAGUCAACAUCAAUUUCUUUCUGCUGUAAAAAAAGCUUGAGGAAGGUGGCUUGAGAUUCGUCUUAAGUGUUUAUAGCCUCUUGCCUAUGCAGUCGGAGAGAUUGAGGUCUGCAGCGUAGAUCCUUCGGGGCUAAAUGCAUUUGUGCUAAGUUAUAGCAUUUUAUAGACAACUUGUUGACUAUGAUUUGUCUUGUAGCUUACUCGCUUAUGUUAUUUUACCUACGCUUAGGAUGUUGAGUCGUAGAGCACGCAG
rnacentral:rRNA from 1 species